CCCUUAGAUGUCCUGGGCCGCACGCGCGCUACACUGACAUGUUCAACAAGUUUCUCCUAGUUCGACAGGACUGGGAAAUCUUUGAACGCAUGUCGUGAUCGGGAUAGAUCAUUGCAAUUAUUGAUCUUGAACGAGGAAUUCCUAGUAAACGCGAGUCAUCAGCUCGCAUUGAUUACGUCCCUGCCCUUUGUACACACCGCCCGUCGCACCUACCGAUUGAAUGUUUCGGUGAAGAUUCCGGAUAGGACUGAUUUGAUUUAUUUCAUUUCUGACCUAAAAGCUAUCUAAACCUCAACAUUUAGAGGAAGGUGAAGUCGUAACA
rnacentral:rRNA from 1 species